rnacentral:lncRNA from 1 species
UUUUCCUUUAUGGAAACGAGUUGGCCGCGCUGAGAUUCUCUCGGUGUUCCCCAGGUAUGGCGUAAUUACUGGUUGCCAAUUAUUCUUCCGUAAGGGAUACUCUAAGGCUUAUUUUAAAAGCGUUUCUCCUCCGAAAACUGGCACAACACAAGGGCUUCGUGAGAGUCAUGCCAAUCCCAAAGGAGAGGCGUUCUUGUGCCAAAGGCUGAAGGCUGGAGGCCUCCUCGCCUCCAGACAAAUGCUGGAGACUGCAGAGGGGCCAGGGCUCAGGAUGGCCCUUUUCGCUGCUGAUUGGAGAGGGGAGAGAACGCAUUAAAUGGUGCAGUGCUGAGAGGUGGUGAAUCACUGCUCCGUUGGAAGGAAAAUUGUAAAAGUGGGCAUGUUUCUCCCUAGGGAGGCGGUUCUUAAAUUUGAAAACUGCGAAAGUGGAUCAAAUAUCUGAAGAGGGCGAAUGGAGAGCAUAAGUCAUUCAUCUAUUCAUGCAAAGAUGCAGGGCAGUGAUCUGAAGGAGGGGUGAGAGCUGAUGAGGGAGAAGGUGAGUAAGAGUGUUCUCAGCAGAGUGAGCGGCGUGGAUAAAGGCCCUGUGGUCAGAGGGAGUAAGUAAGGCAAGUGGGAGGAAUUGCAAGGCCAGUGUGUUUGGAGGUCUUAGAGUGAAUCCUAGGAACCAGAAGCUAUAGGGUCUUAUGCGUCAAGUUCAGAAGUUGUGUUUUACCUUAAGAGUGCUAGAAAGCCAGUGAAGAAGGUCUUCCAGUGGAGUGUGUUUGUGCAGGUGCAUGCGCGUGAGUAUGUGGGCAGGUUGGAGCGGGGAUGGUUAUCACGACUUGAUGUGUACUUGGCUGGAUCCCUUCCGCUGUAGGUCAGAGAGCUGAGUGGAUGGAGGAAGGCUAGUGGACAUCCACUGCAGCUGUCCAGGUUGGACACGGAAGGAAUUUGGGCAAGAGUAUGGUAUGGAGAUUGGAAAGAAGUGGAUGGAUCUGCGUGUCAACUGUAGGGUUUGGCGGUGGUUUGCUUACCAGCCAUUGGGAAGAGCAAAGGGUAAAGAACGACCUGUGGACUCCGCCCCCACAACCAGGUAAAUGGUGGCCAUUCCCUGAGCUGGCCAAAGGGUGCUCAAAGGGGACGAGGAUCAGGAGGGGGGUCAUGGAUUCAGAUCGCGUUUCAGGUGUCUGUUUGAGUUGUCUUUGAGGUGUCCUAAGGAGAGGACAGCCAGGCACCGAGGUGGAUGUGGAAUGCAGAAAGCUUCGGGCUGAGUCGUGCCUUCUGCGGGGUCCGUGCUGGGAGGUGGCUGGAUCUGAGUGUGACUGAGCUUUCCCAGACAAAGGGUCCAGCAGGAGAGGAGGGGCAUCUGGACUUGAGGCUUCAGGAGCUCUAGCAGCGAGUGGCUUGGGGAAAGUCAGCGAAGGAGACAGAGACGGUGAGACCAGAGAGGCAGCAGUUGGACAGAGUACGACAGGGCUUCCGGGGUCAGAAUACGGUGGGUGUGCUGAAGACUGCUGUGGGGUUAAAUUAGAUGAGGGAGGAGCAUUUUUGGCUGAAGCGGUUGGCAAUUUUUGAUCAUGCUAGGAUUUUGCAGAACAAGCCUUCCAGGUCAUAUCAGAAAAGACUCUUUCUUACAGAGGCAGAAUUAAAGGAGGUAAUCUCAGCCAAGCACUGGUACACUCAAGGCACUCAAGUACAGAGGACGAUUUCUCUUAUUUUCUACAAGAAGGACGGUUUAUAAUUGGUACAUCCAAGGUUUUCACCCUCGGCACUGUGGACACUCGGGGCAGGAGGAUUCCCGGUCGUGGGGGCUGUCCUGUACACCAUAGGAUGUCUAGAAGCAUCCCUGGCCUCCACCCACCAGACACCAGUAUAUCCUCCCUCCCCAGGAGUAACAAGAAAGACACGAUCCACACCUGGGGAGCAAAAAUCUGCCAGCUGCCCCCCCCCCACUUUGGGGCUUAUGCUUCACGACAAACUUUUGUUAAUAUUUAUGAAGAGACCUAAUGCCUUUUGGUGUAAAAAAAAAAAAAAUCUAAAUGAACAUUGCUAGCAGGAUGGUACCCUGUCUCCCAAAGCGUAUAAUCUCCCUUUUGGGGUUGCCACACACUGAUGGCAGUAUUUAUCUUUGACACCCUGUGCUAUUGAAAUUCUUGACGGCUGAGAGCUGACUUCAGCAAACAAAUUUAACAGCCUAGUUAAAACCAAAUAGUUUUAUAGAGAGGCUGUAACUUCUUUUUUUUUUUUUUUUUUUUUAAGUUAUAGCAGGACAGAUUAGGGAGGCAGACAAUAAAAGUCCUGUGGUUGCUCAUAUACUGUAUACUUCUGCAGAGCAGUAAUGCACUAACACCGGCCUCAGAGGCGGCCCGGGAUGACUGCGUUUCUAGAAUUCAGGGCUCCUUUCUCUCAGCCCUCCUCUGUGCCAGAACAAAGGGCAGUUUAAUUUCCUGCUAUACUGCGCAGUUUUACAGGAGCAUUUGUUGAAUAAUUCUUUUUUUUACCCUAAACGAACUGGUACAAAAAUCGUGCUAAUCAGUUCCGAUGGGAUGUUGUGAGAAAGGGCAGACUUCUCAACAGGAUGGGGUGGCAUUGUUUUUCCAGGAGAAGCCAAUGAUGCUGGAACAGGAGCUCUAGACUGUCAAGUUUGGGCCACCCACAAAAAGAGACUCCUGAGCCCCUGGAAGAGGAAUCACGGACUUUGUCUUACUUUUUCUCUAAGCGAGUCAGAGAAGACUGUUCUUCUGUUUCACAAGGUAUGCGUGUGAGCUAGUAGCUCAUGGCUCCAUUUCUGGGUCGAUUCAGCCUGAUCAUGUUACAAAUACUGAGCGUUCUGGAUGGAUAUCAUGGAGAAUCUGCUAUAGGAUUAUAACCCGGAAUCACAAAGGAAAUAAUGAAGGAAGGGGGAAGAGGGAAGGGCUGGUUUUUAUAAGCCUCUUCUUGGCAGCCGUGGCCCACUGGAGGGCAGAGUUCUUCAAGUGUCUCCACACUGGUGGGCAAGAAGUUAUCUUCAUUCUCACGAGGACAGUGGAAACCACCUCAUGGGGUCAUCUGGACCAUGGGUCCCUUGAUGGGUGUAUUUGUCAGGGUUUCCCAGAGAAACAGAACCAACAGGCUAUGUAUAGAUAGAUGAUAGAUCUAAAAGGGAUCGGUUCAUGCAACAAUUAUGGAGUCCCAUGAUCUGGCAUCUGGAAGCCGGAGACCCAGGGAAGCCCGCGGUGGAAUUCAGGCUGAGCCUUCAGGAGAGCAGAGCGUGUAGAUCCCAGUUCAGAUCUGAAAGCCUGAGAAGCAGAGAUCAGUGCCCUAGCCCACCAGUCAGGCCCAGUUCUGCCUCCCCCCACCUUCCUGUUCCACUCGGGUCCCGAAGAGAUUGGAUGAUGCCCAUCCGCCCUGGGGAGGGCAGACUGCUUUCCCGAACCUACCAAUUCAAAUGCUCAUUUCACCUGGAAACAUCCUUGCAGACGCACCCAGAAACAAUGUUUAGCCAAAUAUCUGGGGCACCCCAUGCUCCGGUCAGGGUGACACAUAAAACUGACUAUCACAGUGAGUCUUUUGGGAAGGCUGUUCUGAUUCCAGGAAUGUCAGGAUUUCUAUCAUGGAAUAGAGGGGAUUUUUGCUGAAAGAGCCCUGUAGAACUUCACACGCAAGUAGGUUGUGGGAACAGAGGAGGAAGGUAAAUCCCAGAAAGGUGAUGGGACUUGACCCAAGUCGCACACUAAGUAGAGACAGAGGGGACCAGGGCCUCGAUCUUUUGACCCCUAAGCAGUAUGCUCAUCACCCAAUCACCUUGGGCUGACGGUUUCGUGUGAUCCCCACAAAAGACAAAAUGGUGAAAUGGCAGAGGAGCUCUGGGCAGCUGAAGCCCCUGGGCGGGGCGGGGGUUGGGGGGGGGGGUCAGCCUGCUUCCAUUGGGCCAUAUGGUUGUCACUCCCUUGAGUCCCGUGACCGAGUUGUGAGGUGAUAGCACUGUCAUCUUUGUGCCCCAUCCAACGACCCACACUGCUUCUCCCCUUGGCCCAUGGAUCUUUGCCUUAGAGACACCCGCCAUUCACAUCUUAGAAAUUAGGUCAUUACCUCCUCCAGAAGGGCCAGAGACAGCCGUCCGCACCUCCCUACCUCAACUUCCUUUCUGCGUUCUACUUCCUCCUUCCCGCCUGCUGACCUCACGACUUCCCCCAAAAACCUAACUGACGAGCUAGAAACCCACAGGGAAGCCUGUGGCCUGCAGAGGGGAAGGGAGCCGUCCUAUUUCUGGUUCUGGAAGAUGGCCCCCAUGGAGAGCUUCCGCGAAUGACCCUGCUCAUUGUAGUCGGCCACCUUUCCAGGAGAGGGUCCCGGGGACCCAGCCUGGAACGAAUUAUCCAGGAACAAGAAGGGCGCGCAGCUUCGGCCUGGCUUAGCGGCUGGAGCCAAAGCACAGGAAGAAAUACCGUGAUUUCUCAUUUUCAUUAUUUUUGUCACCACGUUUAGAAUGUUCAGCCUAUUUAAAGGGAGGUCCUCUUUGCUUCACGAAUGUGAAUUUCUUGCAGAGAAAGUCCAAUUACUUAGUACUAGCCCUUCAUCCUGGGCUCUCCGGCAUUUUCAAACAAUUUUUUACAAACCGACCAAUGUUUGCGGGACAUGGAAUACAGGCUAUCUGUCGCGGACAUCGCAGGGAGAGGGCGACACAGCCCUGCCUUCACGGGGUUUCUAAUCUAGAAGGAAAGUCAAACUGAAGCCAGGAUAAGUUGACUAACAGUGAAGAAACUGUGAUUUAAAAUGUUCUUUUUUUUUUUUUUUUUUUUAAAGCUUAUUUGUUUGUCUUGAGAGGGGGAGAGAGGAUCCUAAGCAGGCUCCCCACUGACAGCGCAGAGCCCAGUGUGGGGCUCGAACUCACGAACCCGGAGAUCAUGACCUGAGCCAAAAUCAAGAGGUGGACGCUUAACCGACUGAGCCACCCAGGUGUCCUGAAGAAGCUGUGAUUUAAAUAAUAAGGAUUUCUCGGAGCAGCAAAGGGCCAGAGGCCGACAGGGCUGUGCUUUCUGAGGUGAGCAGUGGCCAUCUGGGAUUCCAGGAUUUGAACUCACUGGGUGCGGGAUAAGCAGAGAAGCAGGUAUUCUUUUAAUCUUUUUUAAAAAGUGUUUUUAUUACUUCUGAGAGAGAGAGAGAGAGAGAGAGAGAGAGCGCAAGCAGGGAAGGGGCAGAGAGAGAGGGAAACACAGAAUCCGAAGCAGGCUCCGGGCUCUGAGCUGUCAGCACAGAGCCCGACGCGGGGCUCGAACUCACGAGCCAUGAGAUCAUGAUCUGAGCUGAAGUCGGACGCUUCACCGACUGAGCCACCCAGGCGCCCCCAGAGGAAGGUAUACUUUAGACGGAUUCCUUCUUCCUCAGAAGGUCACGGGGUCUGUGAAGUGGGGACUCUGGCAUAACAUCACCUCUGAGGCUGCUGUGUGUGAGGAACGAGUUAAUACGCGUAAAGCCCCUGGAACAGCACCUCCCCAUGGCAAGGCCAGGCUAAGCUGGCUGUUACGAGGCCCCUGCAAGACAGGGACUUUUAUCACAGUGUCACACAGGAGGAAAGCAAAGUCGCGCUCACGUGAAUCACGCGGUUGGAACCCGGGUCUGGCUCGGCGCCCCCUCCGCCCAGAAUUCCUGCCCUGGAAGACACAUCAGCACGCCCCGGGAAGGUGUUUAAAUAACGACUUUAAUUUUCAGGCGAUAAAGAUGCCCCGUUGUAGGGUUGGCCACAGAGUCAGUGUCAAGAGAGAAAAAGCUUCAGGGGGCUUUCUGUGCGGCACUCAAGGCCACGGAAACACUUCCUUCUUCUUCUCGUGUAUUUUUCCCGUCAGGUCGAGAGAGUGCUAUUCCCUGUCAGUGCUAAAG